AAAAUAUCUAAAGAGAGAGAGAGGAAACUGUGAAAGGGAGAGAGGGAAGAGUGUCAAUUUUCCCAACAUCCAUGGAGGCCUUGAAGAUGAUGGAAGAGAAUUGAAGGAAAAGAAAGAAGAUCACCCAUGGGACUUGGAGGAAUUGAAGAGAGCUAAGAGAUAGACAAAGAUUGAGUUAGGUCGAGACGAGGACAUCGUCCUAUUACUACCGGGAGCUGAUCACUGUAAACAACCAAGUGGUUAAUCCUGAGCCAUGAUGCUCGUUCAUUUUGUCAACCUUUGAGUGCCCAGACUCUAGAUGAAGCCACUCAUAUUUUUGUGAAGUCUUGACAAACUUUUGGCGCUACGCUUUACUUAUUGGCCUAAGGUUGAAAUGUGUAUAAUACUUUCUUCCGAAAUGUUUUUGAUGUAUGCCCAAUUAUAGAGCUGGGCUUGUAUAUAUGUGCGUAUAUAUCCGAUAUUCAGGUG